rnacentral:rRNA from 1 species
GUCGAACGCUUCUUUCCUCCCGAGUGCUUGCACUCAAUUGGAAAGAGGAGUGGCGGACGGGUGAGUAACACGUGGGUAACCUACCCAUCAGAGGGGGAUAACACUUGGAAACAGGUGCUAAUACCGCAUAACAGUUUAUGCCGCAUGGCAUAAGAGUGAAAGGCGCUUUCGGGUGUCGCUGAUGGAUGGACCCGCGGUGCAUUAGCUAGUUGGUGAGGUAACGGCUCACCAAGGCCACGAUGCAUAGCCGACCUGAGAGGGUGAUCGGCCACACUGGGACUGAGACACGGCCCAGACUCCUACGGGAGGCAGCAGUAGGGAAUCUUCGGCAAUGGACGAAAGUCUGACCGAGCAACGCCGCGUGAGUGAAGAAGGUUUUCGGAUCGUAAAACUCUGUUGUUAGAGAAGAACAAGGACGUUAGUAACUGAACGUCCCCUGACGGUAUCUAACCAGAAAGCCACGGCUAACUACGUGCCAGCAGCCGCGGUAAUACGUAGGUGGCAAGCGUUGUCCGGAUUUAUUGGGCGUAAAGCGAGCGCAGGCGGUUUCUUAAGUCUGAUGUGAAAGCCCCCGGCUCAACCGGGGAGGGUCAUUGGAAACUGGGAGACUUGAGUGCA